GACCCCGUAGCUCAGCUGGAUAGAGCGUCCCCCUCCUAAGGGGAAGGUCGCCCGUUCGAAUCGGGCCGGGGUCACCA
rnacentral:tRNA from 1 species